UUAUCUAUAGGUUGAGUGUGUUAAGGGAGUUUACCUCACUGCAGGUGUACCUAGCACUUUUAUUGUGAUGGAGCAUAGAUUGCACCAUGAUUUCUGAAGAGGCUGCUCUUUAAAGAGAGCAAAGCCUUAUGGAAAAGUCAAGUGUUUUUUUAUGGAAGACGUGAUGGAAACUAUUACAGCUCUGAUCCUCGCUAUUGCUAGAAAAAACAGAGGUAGCAGCAGAAGAGGAAAGUAAGCACUAAAGUUGAGCCAGGAAUCUUAUACAAGUGGCUGGUAAAGAAGAGAUGAGGAGGGAUGUGAGCAGAGGCAACGGAGAGGCAGAGAUGAUACUGCUUUGUGUCGGUGAGUGUCCUGGGCAGGAACAGCCUUUGGAGAUGUGUGAGGGGAUG